AAAGCACAAACACACGCCGUGUGUGUGUGUAUGUGUGUGUGUAUAUAUAUAUAUAUAUAUAUAUAUAUAUAUAUAUAUAUAUAUAUACACACACACACUGCUGUGUGUGUGUGUCUG